GGCUGAUGGCCGAUCUUCACAUUUGUUUUUUUUCUCAUUUUUCAAAAUUAACACAGGGCCUGUUUUUCAUCUGUGAAGGCAUAACAGCAUGUUUUGAUGUUAUGUGAAAAUGGCUGCAGAAUCAACACAAGGAAAGGAAAGGAAAACAAGGCUGCCGUCCAGUGAAAGGAUGUUUGCUGGGGGUCAUGAAGGGCUGGACCCCACCACAGCAUGAAUUAAGCCAGAGGACAAGAAAGCAUCCUGGAAAGUUUCCACUUCUUCUGACGACUAACAUGGAGAGACAGACAAUCACAUUUCGGGCAAUGGGCAAUUCUUCUUAAAUCAGAAAAAACACCAAAACAAAAAACUAAAUAAAUCAUACACUGAGCCACCUCA